rnacentral:misc_RNA from 1 species
GAUGAAGAACGUAGCGAAAUGCGAUAAGUAAUGUGAAUUGCAGAAUUCAGUGAAUCAUCGAAUCUUUGAACGCACCUUGCGCCCUGUGGUAUUCCGCAGGGCAUGCCUGUUCGAGCGUCAUUUCAACCCUCAAGCUCUGCUUGGUGUUGGGCCACGCCCUCGCGGCCGGCCCCAAAGCCAGUGGCGGCGCCGUCCGGCUCUAAGCGUAGUACAUCUCUCGCUCUAGGGCCCGGCGGCUGCCUGCCAGAACCCCAAACUCUUAUGGUUGACCUCGGAUCAGGUAGGGAUACCCGCUGAACUUAAGCAUAUCAAUAAGCGGAGGA